UACGUAUGGAGCAAGCGUUAUCCGGAUUUACUGGGUGUAAAGGGAGCGCAGGCGGUCCGGCAAGUCUGAUGUGAAAGGCCGGGGCUCAACCCCGGGACUGCAUUGGAAACUGUCAGACUGGAGUGUCGGAGAGGUAAGCGGAAUUCCUAGUGUAGCGGUGAAAUGCGUAGAUAUUAGGAGGAACACCAGUGGCGAAGGCGGCUUACUGGACGAUGACUGACGCUGAGGCUCGAAAGCGUGGGGAGCAAACAGG
rnacentral:rRNA from 1 species